rnacentral:rRNA from 1 species
GUCGAGCGCGCCUUUCGGGGUGAGCGGCGGACGGGUUAGUAACGCGUGGGAAUAUGCCCUUUGGUACGGAAUAGCCUCUGGAAACGGAGAGUAAUACCGUAUGAGCCCUUCGGGGGAAAGAUUUAUCGCCAAAGGAUUAGCCCGCGUUAGAUUAGGUAGUUGGUGGGGUAAUGGCCUACCAAGCCUACGAUCUAUAGCUGGUUUUAGAGGAUGAUCAGCAACACUGGGACUGAGACACGGCCCAGACUCCUACGGGAGGCAGCAGUGGGGAAUCUUGGACAAUGGGGGCAACCCUGAUCCAGCCAUGCCGCGUGAGUGAUGAAGGCCUUAGGGUCGUAAAGCUCUUUCGCCUGUGAAGAUAAUGACGGUAGCAGGUAAAGAAACCCCGGCUAACUCCGUGCCAGCAGCCGCGGUAAUACGGAGGGGGUUAGCGUUGUUCGGAAUUACUGGGCGUAAAGCGCACGUAGGCGGAUCGGAAAGUUGGGGGUGAAAUCCCGGGGCUCAACCCCGGAACGGCCUCCAAAACUAUCGGUCUAGAGUUCGAGAGAGGUGAGUGGAAUUCCGAGUGUAGAGGUGAAAUUCGUAGAUAUUCGGAGGAACACCAGUGGCGAAGGCGGCUCACUGGCUCGAUACUGACGCUGAGGUGCGAAAGUGUGG